CAUAUAUUAUUUACACUUAACAAACUGAGCCAUGAUAAAGCAGACAACACUAUGAACCUCUGGAAAUGAUGCACCACAUCAAUAUGUCCGGGAAUGUGAUACUCAAUAAUUAAGCUUAAGAGAAUUUACUUCAAUUGUCACUAGAAAAACCAGAAAUUGGCUAGAAAUCAAGCCAGAUUAUCUGUUCUCAAUGGACUUUGCAAUUAUAG
rnacentral:misc_RNA from 1 species